rnacentral:rRNA from 1 species
CUUUCCCUCUUUCUUUAGGCCUAACACAUGCAAGUCGAACGGCAGCACAGUAAGAGCUUGCUCUUACGGGUGGCGAGUGGCGGACGGGUGAGGAAUACAUCGGAAUCUACUUUUUCGUGGGGGAUAACGUAGGGAAACUUACGCUAAUACCGCAUACGACCUACGGGUGAAAGCAGGGGAUCUUCGGACCUUGCGCGAUUGAAUGAGCCGAUGUCGGAUUAGCUAGUUGGCGGGGUAAAGGCCCACCAAGGCGACGAUCCGUAGCUGGUCUGAGAGGAUGAUCAGCCACACUGGAACUGAGACACGGUCCAGACUCCUACGGGAGGCAGCAGUGGGGAAUAUUGGACAAUGGGCGCAAUCCUGAUCCAGCCAUACCGCGUGGGUGAAGAAGGCCUUCGGGUUGUAAAGCCCUUUUGUUGGGAAAGAAAAGCAGCAGGUUAAUACCCCGCUGUUCUGACGGUACCCAAAGAAUAAGCACCGGCUAACUUCGUG